rnacentral:lncRNA from 1 species
AUAAAAUGCUAACACGGUUAAUCAUUCAACAGAAUAGUGAAGUCCAAAGUUUUCAUCAACCGAACCAACAUAAACCCUAAAUACAAGAAAUUUCUUCCCCUUCUCUUUUAUUUCUAAAGUAGAACACUCCACAUAAGAUGAAUCUUCCAUAAUUUGAAGCCUAACAAAAUCUAGGAAAAAUCCAAAAAAACUCAAGAAGGAAGCUCUAACACAAAUACACAAUCAAUCAUUUCAUACAGCUGAUAAGUCUUAAUCUUUCAAUAAUAAAAUCAAAUACAAAUGCUAAAAUUUUUCCCUCUUUUCCCCUUUACCACUCCCUCUCUCCCUUUCCAUUAAACAACCAAUAACAAAUCCAAAAUAUAACCACAAAUACAUUGAUACAGAUUCAUCCGUGCUCACCCAAAUACAUCCAAUUCAAUCAUCAUACCAUAAACAAAC